rnacentral:lncRNA from 1 species
GGCAGGCCUCAGCUGUCCAGACUUUCAGGCUGGUGGACCCAGCUCAGCGGGUUGGUCCAGAACGCCUUUUCCCAUACGUUCUGGGCGUGUGGGGAGAGGUUGUCGACCUCUUACCAUCACCCAUCACCCCACAGAGACCACUAAAGAUUUGGGGCCCGACCAUCUUCUUUCCUCCAUCAAAUUCAGCAAGUGUGAACUUCAACCACAUAUCAGCCGCAUCCCCAUCCGGAGGGCGGGCUCCAAUGAAACCCCGCCCACCCAUAUCAGUAACACAGCAUCUUCUAGCGAUAAACAGGAAGCAAAGGAAGAAUCAGCCACCUUGAAAGUGUGGAAGCUGUUAAAACCUGGCCUCCAACGACACCUGUCGCUAUCAGGAGUAGCUGGGAAGGAGGCUGCCAUACAGCUGGCCUCUAAAGCACUGAUAAAGAAGAAUACAGACAGAAGUGUCCACUACAAAGGAGAUGCUGUUAUAGAAACUGCAUCUGAGACUAAUGAAAAACUGCAACAGGUUGAGGAACCUCCGUUGAUGCCUUUGCCUGAGACUGUCAACAUGUGUGAGACUGUGACCCUUUGUGGAGAAGCCUAGGAACUACAUAUCUACUGUAGCACUGAGAGUACCUUUUGGCACAAUCCCAAUUCACCCUUUGGCCCUCCCCCUUAGCCCAAACGGAGCUCCAAGGGGUAGGGGUUGAAACAUUCCCCUAUGAAAUGGGACAACCCUUCGAGACCUGUUACGUCAUCGGUAGUCAUCAAUGCUGCUAUUAACAGAUGCGGCAACUUUGUUUCCAGAAGUGUUCACCAUGCCGUCAGUAGCUGUAUCCAUCUCUGUUGCAUCAGCUUUGGUCACCUUUUUGCGGCUAUCAACUAUAAACUGCAGAGGUGUGAUCCAUAACACAUUGAAACGGCAUUAAACGGUCGAUCAAAUGAUUAAGUUGUUUACCAAGAAAAUACGUAUUUUUGUGUUUCUUUCAUCACACUGCUGCACUUUUUGGCUCUUUACCUCCAUCUUGCCAAUGAUUCAAACAGAAUUAUAGGAAUUUUCUUUUACCCCUCCGUUCAUAGUGUGGUUGUCAAAAAUCUCUGUUUCGAGGUCUUAGCCCUUCCCCUCCGUUUAAUUGAGAAUUGGGACAACACUACCCCUUAAGGCAGGGGUGUCAAGCUCAUUUCAUUUCAGGGGCCACAUACAGCCUAAUAUUUUAUAAAGUGGGCCAGACCAGUAAAAUAAAAUAAAUAAUAGGGCAACAAGUUAUAAGUAAAGUCAACUCCAAAAUUUGCUGUAUGUUUUUGAGUGAAAAAAAGUCAAAUUCUGUAAUGAAAAUGUUUACACCUAUGAACAGUACUUGAAUAUAACAUGAACAAAUAUGAACCUGAAAAUUCUUUUAAAAAAUAAGCACAAUUUUAACAAUAUUACACCUUAGUUUAUAAUUUAUACAUGUGCAUUAUAACUUACAGAUCACAGUGGAUCUACAAAUACACAAAACAUUAAGUAACAGGCAGAAUAUUGGUAAAAUUAAAGUACUGUUAAGACAUUUCAGGUUGUUCACAUUUUUGUAAAAGGCUAGUCUGUAAAUGUGAACAUUUUUGUGUAAUUUUCACUUUUUUAAAACUGAAACAAAGAGGAAAAAAUUGCAGUUGUCAUUAUUUAUAGGUUAUUAUGAUAGUAUUUUACUGGUCUGACCCACUUUAGAUUGAAUUGACCUAAAAUUAUUUUAAUAUCUUCAGUAUAAUUUCACCAUAACUUUUGCAUUUCACAAAUUCAUCCCAGGGGCCAGAUUGGACCCUUUGGCGGGCCAGUUUUGGCCCCCGGGCCGCAUGUUUGACACCUGUGCCUUAAGGUGUACUUGCAAAAUGGAGGGGUAGGGGUAAGGGGGAGGGCCAAGGGGUGAAUUGGGAUUCAGCCUCAAUGUCUGUUUGCUUUAUAUAUGCUUGUAUUACCACAAACCUAUUACCAAAAACAUUAAAACCAUAGGGGAGGGCAGUUUCAUCGCAGGAGGAUAAGAUGGUUCUCGAUAAUGUGCAAUAUAACUUUAUGACUGUUGCCCAGCGCAGCUUUACUGACGUAGCUCUUGAGGUUAAGUGCCUUGCUCAAUAACACCCCAGCCGCCGCUGAGGAAGGGAAGAUGCACACUUUCAGCUUUUCAUUUGAUCAAGGCAGUGACCUCAAAUGUGUGUUCUUUAACAUUUCAACUAAAGUUACUGUACCUCACACUGUUUCUUUUAGUUUGUUUACUGUUAGUUUGUACCUCCUGCUAUCACUUCCAAAAAUAUAUGAAAGACACUCUGACCAAUACUGUUAUGCACUAAUAAUAAAUGUCCUCACAGUCAGCCGCUUUAUUAUAAUAGGCUGACUUUUAUUCAAGCACCUUUUAAACCAUACUUCCAUUAUGAGAUUAGAAACAAAUGUGAGUGAAGUGAAUCGUGUAUUUACAGUAAUGUGAUAGUUUUUCCUGAGGUUGUGUUUGAUGUGCACAUAGCGGCUAUAAAAUGUAUUCACCCAUUGUUGGACUUUUUCAUUUUUUACAUCAAUAAAUCAUUUUAGAUAUAAGGAAUUUUGACUUUGAACCUUAAAAUAGUUCACAUACCCAACUAAUCUGCAGCAAGGUUACAGCCAAGUACUGGUCAAUGGGGGGAUUGUAGUAAAAUUCCGAGGUUUUACUGUUGUUAACUGUCUUUUCUGGCGAGAUGUUACUCUUGACAGGUGUUGGAGCAAGACACUCUCUGGAGGCACUGGCAGUGAAUUUACUCAGGAGAUAUUGAUUAGUAGGAGCUUGUCAGACACAACAAUACAGCGAUUGCCCAGUCCGACUCUGAAGUAGACUACAGUCUGUCAAUAUUGAAGUCCCACUAAUCCAGUGAAUCUUGUCCCUUGUAUAAUGUUAGUUAGAGGAUACAUUGUAGAAGACUGUACACAUUGAGUUAUAUUGGCUGUUGACUGAUCACAAGCCAUUGUAUACUGUAUGACCUGCCUUUUACAUGCAGCAGCACAUGGACUGAUGCCAAAAAUGUUCUUGGACUACAGUCACAGUGUGUAUGUAUACAUUCAAUCAGGCCAUUCUCUGAAACUGAAUGGCACAGCAAGGGUUACAGAAAGGCUGAAAACACUAGUGGGGUUAUGAAUGUUAAAGACAGCUGAUAAUAAUACAAACAGACCCUGAAAAAUCAAUGUGGCAAAGAGAACUGCUGUAUUUUGCAAAAUACCUGGGCUGGGUAGCUGUUUUUUUUUGUAAUUUUAGUCAACAUUAAAGCCACUCUAAUGUUACUUUAUGAAUGACUGUCAGUGUUUGAUAGAGAACAAAUCAAAGUCUACAUCACUCUGCAUUCAUAUGGUGUAGACAAAAAUGUAUUUGCAAAGAAUAGUAUAUAUCAAAUGUCUCUGUACAACACGUCAUUUAGUGUAGAACACGAAAAAGUCCCACAGGUGUGUAUGCUUUUUAGCCACUCUCAGUAUUGAAUAUACUUACAUUCCAUCAGAGCUUUCUGCCCUCCCAUACCAACUAGUCCUUAACUACUGUGUAUUCAGUCAGAAAUAUUUUAUGUAAGGAGACUUAUUACAGAUGUAUCUUUUUCAAAGUGAACGUUAACCAUUUCAAAAUGAAUUAUACUGUGACAAACAAUACUGUGUCUGAACAAAACUCAAGUGUAAUUUUAAAAAACUUGAAAUAAAAUGUGGACUGUAUUGUGUACAUCAACUCAAACUGUUUGUGGUGUUUGUGUAAAAUAAUGAGCAAUGUAUUAGGCCAAAUGCAAUUCACAUAUUUUAUUACAAAAAACCAUUGUCCAAUCUCAAUAACAAAGAAAUCAUAUGAGCACUGGAAAGGGGGAAUGUUGUCUCCAGGGUGGUGUCAUCCAUUUUCAUCUCACCUGAGGAGAGAAAAAGAGACUUCAUAGGUGGCAGAAUGUCAUAGACUAGCAAACACCAAUCUGUCUUUAACAAUAUACACAUUUAAAGACAGUUAAUAGACAGAUGUCAAUUCAGAGUUGUGUUAGAAUAGAAUUAGUCAACAGCAGCAUGUUCUUAGUGUGCUAUGAGGACCUCAAUUUCUGUAUUCUUCAUUUAAUUUAAGUAUGACAGACAGAAGCUUAAAAACAACUGAGCCUGUAAACCAUUUUAAAUAACUUAAAUUUUCUGUCAGUAAUCACACUAGACUUAAACCAGUUGGACAUUUUCCAAACUAUCAGUAUCUGCAAAACAUGGCUCCAAUAGUCACCACUGAAAUUACAGUCUUUAAAAGUGUCUGUACAAAUAUCACUUAACAUUAAAUGGAGUUAUUUUUAAUUACUGGGGUGGCUGUUCAGUUCUCUAGACUCUAAUACAGUCAAAGAUUGUUAAUUUCUGUCAGUGUCAAAAUUUUUGGCACUCACCUCACCAGUCAUGCUUCAGGAUACAUUUGGAGCCUCUACUCCUGCUUCUUGGGGUUAUUGACAGCAACGUAGUGAUAUAAAACUACCAGCAGGAACAAUGACACGCCAAGCAUGUUGGCAAAUAUGGCCAGUUGCACGUCUGUCACCAUUCUGGAAAGAAAAGACACAAUAUUGGAGGCAUGUAAAAAUAACUUGCACACUCCUUGCAGUUAAGUUCAGUAUGCAGUGUAUCACCGAGUUUCAGACCCAUUAUAAAUCGUAAGGGGGAGUAAGUAACGAUUGGUAAAAUAACAUGCUGUAUUUAGGUUACAAACGUCCACAAAACCGGCCAGACAUAAAUAAUUUCAGACCAAAACAUUUAGUUAGAUCAAGCUGCCCUGUAGUUAGCUUAGCCGUUAGCACACACAAAAUUAACUUUUCCGGGGAAGCCACUGGACUUUUUUUUUUUUUUUUUUUUUUAACAUAAACAUUUUGUAAAUUACUGAAGCGCGUUUAACAUUAUUCACUGGAGUGCUUGACGACAUUCGCCAAAUAAAUGUGCCAAAUGCUGGCAGGUUGUGCUGCUGUCAAGAAAAGAUGCUAACACCCACCUAGCUUAGUGCAAACGACACAUGCUAAUCUACACAACACAGGGAGCACUACGCAAGAAGCUUAAACAAAAGUACAAAACUUGAAUAAGUUACCUAAUGUUACUUACAUGGCUGCUUAUAUUUCGUUUCAAUCUCACUUCGACUGAUCCCUUAACUGCUGAGCAUCAGACAAGCAAACCUGUCUGUCUGUCUCUGUCUGACUGACUGACUUCCGGCUGUAGCGGAAAGCCACGUCACAUUUAGGGAAGCCGCAGGGCAGA